rnacentral:RNase_P_RNA from 1 species
UGAGUCAGCCAAACAGUCGCUGUACUGUUCAGACAGUACAGAGGAAAGUCCGGGCUUCACAGAACGCAGCGCCAGAUAACGUCUGGGCAACGUGAGUUGACGGAAAGUGCCACAGAAAAUAGACCGCCAUUGCGCCUGAUUUAUCAGGUGUGGGUAAGGGUGAAAAGGUGCGGUAAGAGCGCACCGCGUCGUUAGUAAUAGCGGCGGCACGGCAAACCCCGCUGGAAGCAAAACCAAGUAAAGAUUCUAUGAUGUGGUUCGCAUCGAAUCUGGGUAGGUCGCUUGAGGCAAAUAGUGAUAUUUGUCCCAGAUAAAUGACUGUUAAGGAACGCGCGCUAACUCGCUUGGUGAAUUGGCGCCCAAGAGCAUGGUCAGAUUUUAAUGUUCUGACUGAGAAAAUGCGAAGGAAUACAUGAUUUGUAUUUCGAGCAUUUUCGAUGGAAGAACAUUACUAAAAAUGACCGUGAUAUUGGGCGCCAAUUCACCAAGCGAGUUAGCGCGCGUUCCUUUACAGAACCCGGCUUAUCGGCUGACUCAUACU